rnacentral:rRNA from 1 species
ACGGGUGAGUAACGCGUGGGUAACCUGCCUUAUACAGGGGGAUAACAGUCAGAAAUGGCUGCUAAUACCGCAUAAGCGCACAGAGCUGCAUGGCUCAGUGUAGAAAAACUCCGGUGGUAUAAGAUGGACCCGCGUUGGAUUAGCUUGUUGGUGGGGUAACGGCCCACCAAGGCGACGAUCCAUAGCCGGCCUGAGAGGGUGAACGGCCACAUUGGGACUGAGACACGGCCCAGACUCCUACGGGAGGCAGCAUG